UACGGAGGGUGCAAACGUUGCUCGGAAUCACUGGGCGUAAAGGGUGCGUAGGCGGGUCUUUAAGUCAGGGGUGAAAUCCUGGAGCUCAACUCCAGAACUGCCUUUGAUACUGAAGAUCUUGAGUCCGGGAGAGGUGAGUGGAACUGCGAGUGUAGAGGUGAAAUUCGUAGAUAUUCGCAAGAACACCAGUGGCGAAGGCGGCUCACUGGCCCGGUACUGACGCUGAGGCACGAAAGCGUGGGGAGCAAACAGG
rnacentral:rRNA from 1 species